AACCGAUGAGGUGGAAACGGAUAGAGCCAGCGUAUCUGGCCUGUAUUCAGCCUCGUUGUGGUUGGCAGUUGGGCGCUGCGUCUCCAGAUUGGGACAGUGUUUGACAUUGCUGGCGGCAAUGUUGGUGCAUUUGCAGGUCGAGUGCGCCGAGACUUUCGAGUCGGCGGCAUGAGUUCAGUUUUGAGGCCAGCUUGCUGGUACCCGGAUUGGAGGAAUGUUGUUCGGUUUGGAUGUAAGAUGGGAAAGGCUCACGAGUUCGUAUGGGCACCGAGUUGGUCGGAGGUGGCAGUCGCAUGCGACAUGUACCUUUUGCCAAUUCGGUCCUGUGCCAGCUCACAAUCCCACUCUCGGCGUAAAAGUUGGUCAUCUAUCUGACCCGUCUUGAAACACGGACCAAGGAGUUUAUCGUGUGCGCAAGUCAUUGGGUGUUGAAAACCCAAAGGCGCAAUGAAAGUAAAGCAUCCGCAAGGGUGCGACGUGUGAUCCUGGCAAUCACGGUUGUCCGGAGCAACAUGGCCCCAUUCUGGCCGCUUGCGGCGGGGUGGAGGAAGAGCGUACGCGGUGAGACCCGAAAGAUGGUGAACUAUUCCUGAGCAGGAUGAAGUCAGAGGAAA
rnacentral:rRNA from 1 species